AGACAAUGUUCACCGUUCGAGGUGUCGCAGCAGGAGGGAUUCAAGUGUAAAUCCAUAUUCAGCCAGUGGGGAACAUGCAUCAGGCCCAGCGGUGAGUUUUCUACAGUGUGAUCCCCGCCUCCCGUCGAGUCUUCCAGUUUGGCUUUUACUCCUGGUGGGAACAUAAUUCAAUACAAGUGUGGACAAGGAUUCUUCUUGUCGAGUGGACUUACAGGCUUCUUCUGACCGUGAGAUGCUCCAAAACAGAUGUUUUUAGCAUGGACUAAAUCACUAUUAAAUAAUGGACCUUAAUAACAGAGGAUAGAAAAGCUUUCUUACCACUCCACAAAAGGUCUCAUAAGCUGCUCGGUGAUUGCAGUGUCUCAGGUGAGUCUGACUCAAAUGAAAAUAAAAAAAGUCUGGAGGUGUGGAGCUAGAAAGAAGCGGGACCUCUGUAUCUACUGCAGGCUGAGCUUCUGAGUUGCGUUACAGAUGUAAUGCUGAAAAAAGGGAUUUCGAGAAACACAGCCGCGCUGUCAAUCAAACGUCAUCUGUCAGCUUCACUGAACCCGUCCUAAAGUCGACCUUUGCAGUCGUGAAAGGAGCAGCCCGGCUCCGAUCCAGACAUCCAGAAAGAAAAAGUCCUCCUUUGACUAUUCAAGUCCCAAAGGCAAAACUCCAAAUCCAAAACUGCCCAUCCCUCCCACCCUGCCUCCCCCUGCUGCACCGAUGACUUUGACGGUAAAAUGCUGUCAAUCCCCAUCAGAUAGGCACGAGAAC
ensembl:lncRNA